rnacentral:rRNA from 1 species
AUACGUAGGUGGCAAGCGUUGUCCGGAAUUAUUGGGCGUAAAGCGCGCGCAGGCGGUCCUUUAAGUCUGAUGUGAAAGCCCACGGCUCAACCGUGGAGGGUCAUUGGAAACUGGGGGACUUGAGUGCAGAAGAGGAAAGUGGAAUUCGAAGUGUAGCGGUGAAAUGCGUAGAGAUUUGGAGGAACACCAGUGGCGAAGGCGACUUUCUGGUCUGUAACUGACGCUGAGGCGCGAAAGCGUGGGGAGCAAACAGGAUUAGAUACCCUGGUAGUCCACGCCGUAAACGAUGAGUGCUAAGUGUUAGGGGGUUUCCGCCCCUUAGUGCUGCAGCUAACGCAUUAAGCACUCCGCCUGGGGAGUACGGUCGCAAGACUGAAACUCAAAGGAAUUGACGGGG